GACGAACGCUGGCGGCGUGCUUAACACAUGCAAGUCGAACGGAAAGGCCCUGCUUUGGUGGGGUGCUCGAGUGGCGAACGGGUGAGUAACACGUGAGUAACCUGCCCUUGACUUUGGGAUAACUUCAGGAAACUGGGGCUAAUACCGGAUAGGAGCUCCUGCUGCAUGGUGGGGGUUGGAAAGUUUCGGCGGUUGGGGAUGGACUCGCGGCUUAUCAGCUUGUUGGUGGGGUAGUGGCUUACCAAGGCUUUGGCGGGUAGCCGGCCUGAGAGGGUGACCGGCCACAUUGGGACUGAGAUGCGGCACAGACUCCUACGGGAGGGAGCAGUGGGGAAUAGUGCACAGUGGGCGGAAGCCUGGUGCAGCAACGCCGCGUGCGGGAUGACGGCCUUCGGGGUGUAAACCGCUUUCGCCUGUGACGAAGCGUGAGUGACGGUAAUGGGUAAAGAAGCACCGGCUAACUACGUG
rnacentral:rRNA from 1 species